AGCAGAGAUUAAACUGAAGAGUUUGAUCCUGGCUCAGAUUGAACGCUGGCGGCAUGCCUUACACAUGCAAG
rnacentral:rRNA from 1 species